rnacentral:rRNA from 1 species
CAGCAGUGGGGAAUUUUGGACAAUGGGCGAAAGCCUGUUCCAGAGGGCGCCGCGUGAGUGAUGAAGGUCUUCGGAUCGUAAAGCUCUGUCGGUGGGAACGAUGCGUUUGCCGGUCAUUCCCCUGUAAGCGUGACGGUACCCGCAAAGGAAGCACCGGCUCCCUCCUCC